CCCUACGGGGUGCAGCAGGCGCGAAACCUUUACAAUGUGCGAAAGCAUGAUAAGGGAACUCCGAGUGCCAGUAUCUAAUACUGGCUGUCCUUGUGCCUAAAACGCACAAGAUAGCAAGGGCCGGGUAAGACCGGUGCCAGCCGCCGCGGUAACACCGGCGGCCCGAGUGGUAGCCGCUAUUACUGGGUCUAAAGGGUCCGUAGCCGGUUCGAUAAGUCCUCUGGGAAAUCUGGUUGCUUAACAAUCAGACUGCCAAGGGAUACUGUCGAACUUGAGACCGGGAGAGGUAAGAGGUAUUUCAGGGGUAGGAGUGAAAUCUUGUAAUCCCUGGGGGACCAUCUGUGGCGAAGGCGUCUUACCAGAACAGGUCUGACGGUGAGGGACGAAAGCUGGGGGCGCAAACCGGAUUAGAUACCCGGGUAGUCCCAGCCGUAAACGAUGCUCGCUAUGUGUCAGGUACGGUGUGACCGUAUCUGGUGCCGUAGGGAAGCCGUGAAGCGAGCCACCUGGGAAGUACGGCCGCAAGGCUGAAACUUAAAGGAAUUGGCGGGGGAGCAC
rnacentral:rRNA from 1 species